rnacentral:rRNA from 1 species
UACGUAGGGUGCAAGCGUUGUCCGGAAUUAUUGGGCGUAAAGAGCGUGUAGGCGGCUCGAUUAGUCCGCUGUGAAAGUCCAGGGCUCAACCCUGGAAUGCCGGUGGAUACUGUCGAGCUAGAGUCCGGAAGGGGCGAGUGGAAUUCCUGGUGUAGCGGUGAAAUGCGCAGAUAUCAGGAGGAACACCAAUGGCGAAGGCAGCUCGCUGGGACGUGACUGACGCUGAGA